rnacentral:lncRNA from 1 species
GGAACCCGGCCGACAGAAGAUGGCGGAUGAGCAGCGUGCAGGGUUUUCUCCCUGUGGCUCACUCUCUCUUACUGUGCUGGGCGGUUGCUUCCUCUCCUGCUGCCCUUGGGAGUCAGACUCCAGGUUCUUCAGCCUGUGGCCCCUGGGGCUCUCGGGCCUUGGAGGACUGACUAGGAGCACACGGUGGGCCUCUCUGGUUUGGGGGCCUGGGACGUGGCGGAGCCCUGCAGCUUCUGUGCGGCCUGUUCUGGGCGUCGCGUUGAAACGCCAGCCAGUUCCCCAAGUAAGCUCCCUGCACACACGCCUGAUAGCCUGUUGGUUCCGUCCUUCUGCGGGAUUUUCACUACCACUCUCUAACUCACACACAGCAGAAAGAGCAUACGGGAGAGAUGAAGCAGUCCACUCCAAGAACAUUCUCAUCCUACGGAUUACGAGUCCCCCUGGGAUUACAGGAGUGUUGAAGAAAUGUUGUGACACAUCAGAACACCGCGAAAUACAUGGACACUUUCAAAUCAUGGAAGACUCAAGCCCACCAGGUAUUUUUGAAAAAAGUACUCUGUGAAAAACAGAAACUGCAAGCAAGACAGAUACCAGGAUUAGGGAUCACGGUGACUUCUACCAUCGCUGGAUACUCCCAAAAGGGUUCUCGAGACAGCAGCUGUGUCUGCCCUGCUUUGGCAUUCUUUCCCAGGCAUGGCGACCGUAAGUCAAAAUGUAAUCCUUAGCUGGUCAUACAAGCCCUGUCAUUACUCAUAUAUGCAGAUGAUAUUUUAAAUUCUUCCAGUUUUUUUUUAGGGAGGAGUAUUAAAACAUGAGUAAAAAUUAAUUUGUGGGCUCACUGACAAUGGGGUUUAAUUUGCAUUUUUAUCCUCAUUGAUUAGCACCAAGCCCAGAAGAACUUGUGUUCAUUAAGAACUUGUUGAUUGAGCAGCUAGAAAGGGGCUUGUCUUCCAUAAGGAGAUCUCUACUCUUGUGGGUUUUACUCUCUAGCAGAGGGACAUGAGCAACAGACAAUAAAAUAAAUAUUACAUGGUAUAUUUGAACAAUAUAAAUGCCACGAAAAUGAAAAAUAAAAGUGCAGAGCAAGGAAGAGAGAUGAGAAGGCCAACUGAGAUCUUAAAUGAAGUGGGGAUGGUGGGCCUCACAGAGAGGAGAUGACACACUUGAAGAAGGUGAAGGGGCAAGCACAGAUACUCUGGGGAAUGUGCAUUCCUGCCAGGACCAUCAGUGCUAAAGCCGUAAGUGGAGGUGUGCCUGGCACUUGCCAGGAAUAAUGAGGAAGGGGAGGUGGCAGAGGAGAGCUGAGCUGCCAGGAGAAUGGCACAGGACAUUGGAGGGCUGAUGAGGUCCAGAUGACAUGUGGCUUCACAAACCAUUGCAAGGAUAUGGCAUCUGCUCUGAGUCAAAUGGAAAUUUAUUGCAGGAUUUGAAAAAAGAGUGAUGGCUGUGUCCAGUGGCUCAUGCCUAGAAUCCCAGCACUAUGGGAGGCCGAGACAGGCAGAUCACUUGAGCCCAGGAGUUUUAGACCAGCCUGUGCAACAGGGUGAAACCUCGUUUCUACCAAAAAUACAAAAAUGCAUGGGCGUGGUGGCACAUGCAAAUAGUUCCAGCUAAUCAGGAUGCUGAGGUGGGAGGAUCACUUGAGCUCUGGCAAGUGGAGCCUGCAGUGAGCUGAGAUCACCACCACACUCCAGUCUGGGCAACAGAAUGAGAUCCUGUCUCAAUAAAAAGAAAAAAGCGUUGAUGUGGUUUGGCUCUGUGUCCCCACCCAAAUCUCACCUUGUAGCUCUCUUAAUUCCCACAUGUUGUGAGAGGGACCCAGUGGGAGAUGAUUGAAUUACGGGAGCCAGUCUUUCCCAUACCGUUGUCAUGGUAGUGAAUAAGCCUCGAGAUCUGAUGGUUUGAUAAGGAGAAACUUGUUUCGCUUGGCAUUUAUUCUCUCUUUGCCUGCUGCCAUGCAUGUAAGAUGUGAAUUUUGCUCCACCUUGACUUCUGCCAUGAUUGUGAGGCUUCCCCAGCCAUGUGGAACUGUAAUUAAACCUCUUUCUUUUGUAAA